rnacentral:tRNA from 2 species
AGCGGCGCCGGCCGGGGCGAGGCGGGCGCGCGCAGCCCGCGCUCGUCGAGAACGCGCGCGAGCUGGCGGGCGAUCGCGUCGCCCGUGUCGAUC